ACGUAGGGAGCAAGCGUUGUCCGGAAUUACUGGGCGUAAAGGGCGCGUAGGCGGGAAUUUAAGUUAGAUGUGAAAGCACCGGGCUCAACCUGGUGACUGCAUUUAAAACUGGGUUUCUUGAGGGCAGGAGAGGAAAGUGGAAUUCCUAGUGUAGCGGUGAAAUGCGUAGAUAUUAGGAGGAACAUCAGUGGCGAAGGCGACUUUCUGGACUGUACCUGACGUUGAUGCGCGAAAGCGUGGGGAGCAAACGG
rnacentral:rRNA from 1 species